rnacentral:rRNA from 1 species
UACGUAGGUGGCGAGCGUUGUCCGGAAUUACUGGGUGUAAAGGGCGUGUAGGCGGGGAUGCAAGUCAGAUGUGAAAUACCGAGGCUUAACUUCGGGGGUGCAUCUGAAACUGUAUUUCUUGAGUGUCGGAGAGGAAAGUGGGAUUCCUAGUGUAGCGGUGAAAUGCGUAGAUAUUAGGAGGAACACCAGUGGCGAAGGCGACUUUCUGGACGAUAACUGACGCUGAGGCGCGAAAGCGUGGGGAGCAAACAGGAUUAGAUACCCCUGUAGU